rnacentral:misc_RNA from 1 species
UCUCCGUAGGUGAACCUGCGGAGGGAUCAUUACAGAGUUCUCGCCCUCGCGGGUAUAUCUCCCACCCACUGUUAUCGUUACUGUGUUGCUUUGGCGGGCCGCCGGGCCCCGCUCGGCCGCCGGCUCCGGCUGGCUCGCGCCCGCCAGAGGCCCAGCAAACUCUGAAUGUUAGUGUCGUCUGAGUACUUUAUAAUAGUUAAAACUUUCAACAACGGAUCUCUUGGUUCUG